GCUGGGUUGGGGCACCCCGGGGGUCUCACAGCCUCCCCUGAGGGUGCAGGUGCCACAGGGGGUCCCGGGGGCGAUGCCAGCACGGGGCCCCCACCCGGCGACCCCCACGGGGCCCCCCCCGAGCCCUCCCGGGGGCCGCGGCUCUUCUGCCUCGAGUACGAGGGGGACGACGGGACGGUCACGGCCGUGAUCGUGCACCAGGGGGACAGCGCGGAGGAGGUGACGCGCCGGGUGUGCGCCCGCAGCCCCCUGGAGCCCCCCCUGCGCAGGGCCCUGUGCCAGCGCGUGCAGGACGAGCUCAGCAAGCGCCGGGGCACGGGCUGACACUGCCACACCCCCCCGGGGGACACGGGCACCCCCCCAGGACGGUGCCACCCCCGCCGGUGUCAAUAAAGGUGCUGCGAGGC